rnacentral:tRNA from 1 species
GGCCCCAUCGUCUAGCGGUUAGGACAUCGGCCUCUCACGCCGGUAACAUGGGUUCGAUUCCCAUUGGGGUCG